GGGGAAGCCCUUGGUCCUGCCAAGACUGAACCCCCAGUGAAGCACAAGAGGAGCUUCCCUGGAGGCUUCUGGACGCAGGAACCUAGUAGCCAUGAAGGAUCCAUCUGGUUUCCACCUGCACCCAAACUGAAAGCCAGUCUCCAGCAGUGCUAACACACCAGAGAACAGAGGUAAGGUGACCCCUUUGGCUCUAAGGGACCUGCCUGGAGCCCUCAGAACACAGAACCCAGGAGCAGUCUGGGACAGGAUCCUUCCAGUUUCUGCCUGCACCCAGAGGUGACCUGGUCCCACAGCUCUUUGUACCCAGAUCCCCUGGGGGGAAGAGCAGGAAUCUCAGAGAUAUGGGCCAUCCCAGGAGCACAGGGAAGAUCACCACUUCUGCUGGCAUUCCUGGUCCAUGAAGAACCUGCCUGGAGACCUCAGGACACAGGAACCUAGGAGCAAUGUGGGAUAGGAUCCUUAUGGCUACUGCCUGCGCCCGGACCUGGCCCUGUGACACAGCUCUCUGGACUCAGGCCCUGCUGUCAGAAAGCUGGUCUCCAGAAGUGUUGACACACAGGCUUACAGGAGGGUCAAGCCACUGUCAGAGAUAGCAAAAAAAGCCACACAAGAGGCAAGGAGAUGGUGAAAAGCAAUCACAGGAACUUAAGCAACAGAAACCAAGACUCCGUGACAUUAUCACAGCCUAGUCCACCCAUCAAAGCAAAUACUGGAUAUCCCAACACACAAGAAAAGCUAGAUUUGUAUUUAAAAUCACAUCUCAUGAUGAUAUAGAGGAUUUUGAGAAGGACAUAAAUAACUCAAAGAAAUAAAGGCAAACACAACAAAACAGGUGAAGGAAUUGAACAAAACCAUCUAAGACCUAAAUAUAGAAAUAAAAACAAUAUAGAAAUCAGAAAGGGAGACAACCCUGGAGAUAGAAAACCUAGAAAAGAGAUCAGGAGUCAUAGACACAAGCAUCACCAACAGAAUAA
rnacentral:sRNA from 1 species